UAUACAUUCAUGCUCUUUGAAUAAACUUGCCUUGCAACCAUCAGUUGUCUUGGCCCUUCUGACCCCAUACUGGUGCUUUUCAGUUCCUUACCCCUCACCGCCAGGAACUUCUAGCUUUCUGCAGCCGGUCUGCGGCAAGUGGCGCCCGAACAGGGACCUGAGUGCGUGAGGCAUUUCGGAAGAUUUCAGGGAGGCAGACUCUCCGCGGUGGCUCCCGGAGCGCUUGGUUCGACAUUAUCAUGCCAUCACCAAUAAACACCCUGACUCGAAGAAUGCGUCGCCUGAGGCUCUCGCAAUCGACCACAGCACACCCCAACCGGUUCCCCCGGCGGACGAGAAGAAUGCGGCGACGGAGUAGGAGACAACUUGUCAGGGAGGCGAGGGGAGAUCGAAAUCAAAUUACUUGACUGUUUCUAGACGAGAAGAUUUAUCCACCUUUGUAUUUUGGUAUAAGGAUAACGUUCCCAUUCACAUGAAUGCUAGAGUAACUAAGCUUGCUUCUAAUACUUCGUUGGAUCAUUCUCUAUGCAUAUAUCG